GCACCCCUCCAAAAAAGCUGCUAUCUCAGCCUCUGUAGUAGAUAGAAACAAAACUCAAAAAGUAUUUGAGAGCUUAAACAUGUGGCUUUCAAGAAAGCUCUCUUUUAGUUUUGCGAACCUUCAUCACAUUUUUGAAAACCUUGAACAAACAAACUUAAAUGAAAUAAAGCGGCUGAAUAAAUAAAAGUAAAGGCUCUGCACUGGAGAAUGACAAAUAAUUUGUUUUCUGUAAAACAAGUGGCAGUCAUGAUAAAGUGUCCAUUCAAUACAAAUGUAAAUAUAGAAAAUAAGGUGUUGAAAGGGUAUACAGCUGCCCCAGUAUAGUGCCAGUACAAAAGCAGAACUAAAAACUAAAAAAAUGAAUAAAUAAAUAGGUGGCUGACAGUGUGUUCAUCUCUGUUCUCACCCAAAGUCAUGCAACACUCACAGAAAACGCUGAUUGUGUGAACCAAAGCACUCAAUAUGAAGAGGUUGUUCACACUGCUGGAUGUUUCUCCUCUGAAG